AUUCUUUCAAACAACAGCAGCUGAACAAGGAACUGUGGAAAGAAAGAGAGCAUGAGGUGCACAAGUUUAUUGCAAGAUGGGUCUAUAAUCAUGCAAUAUCUUUCAAUGCAUGUGACAAUGAUGAGUUCAAGCAAAUGUGUGAAGCAAUUGGACAAUUUGGACCAGGACUUACACCUCCAACUCAAGAUGCUUUUCGAGGUAGUUUGCUGGAAGAAGAAUAUGCAAGAACCAAGAGUUUGCUGCAGGAACGUGAAGC